ACUCCUACGGGAGGCAGCAGUAGGGAAUCUUCCACAAUGGGCGCAAGCCUGAUGGAGCAACACCGCGUGAGUGAAGAAGGGUUUCGGCUCGUAAAGCUCUGUUGUUAAAGAAGAACACGUAUGAGAGUAACUGUUCAUACGUUGACGGUAUUUAACCAGAAAGUCACGGCUAACUACGUGCCAGCAGCCGCGGUAAUACGUAGGUGGCAAGCGUUAUCCGGAUUUAUUGGGCGUAAAGAGAGUGCAGGCGGUUUUCUAAGUCUGAUGUGAAAGCCUUCGGCUUAACCGGAGAAGUGCAUCGGAAACUGGAUAACUUGAGUGCAGAAGAGGGUAGUGGAACUCCAUGUGUAGCGGUGGAAUGCGUAGAUAUAUGGAAGAACACCAGUGGCGAAGGCGGCUACCUGGUCUGCAACUGACGCCGAGACUCGAAAGCAUGGGUAGCGAACAGGAUUAGAUACCCUGGUAGGCUACCC
rnacentral:rRNA from 1 species